ACAUGUGAGGACAAUAUGGCUGUGACACCUGUCACCCUAUUGAUCACUAGGGUUUAUUCAGUUGAUCAACUGGCUGGCUAGGUACAUGUCCCCUUCCUCCCUCACUGCUCCACAUGCAUCCCUCCCAAAGCUCCACUCUCAGUCAAAGAGGACAAACUUCCCCGAUACACGCAGUACCUUUCAUCGGUCACGGUCAUACAGUA
rnacentral:snRNA from 1 species